rnacentral:rRNA from 1 species
AUUGAACGCUGGCGGCAGGCUUAACACAUGCAAGUCGAGCGGGGAUUGGGUGCUUGCACCUAAUCUUAGCGGCGGACGGGUGAGUAAUGCUUAGGAAUCUGCCAUUUAGUGGGGGACAACAUUCCGAAAGGGAUGCUAAUACCGCAUACGCCCUACGGGGGGAAGCAGGGGAUCUUCGGACCUUGCGCUAAAUGAUGAGCCUAAGUCGGAUUAGCUAGUUGGUGGGGUAAAGGCCUACCAAGGCGACGAUCUGUAGCGGGUCUGAGAGGAUGAUCCGCCACACUGGGACUGAGACACGGCCCAGACUCCUACGGGAGGCAGCAGUGGGGAAUAUUGGACAAUGGGCGGAAGCCUGAUCCAGCCAUGCCGCGUGUGUGAAGAAGGCCUUUUGGUUGUAAAGCACUUUAAGCGAGGAGGAGGCUACCUGGAUUAAUACUCUAGGAUAGUGGACGUUACUCGCAGAAUAAGCACCGGCUAACUCUGUGCCAGCAGCCGCGGUAAUACAGAGGGUGCGAGCGUUAAUCGGAUUUACUGGGCGUAAAGCGUGCGUAGGCGGCUGAUUAAGUCGGAUGUGAAAUCCCUGAGCUUAACUUAGGAAUUGCAUUCGAUACUGGUCAGCUAGAGUAUGGGAGAGGAUGGUAGAAUUCCAGGUGUAGCGGUGAAAUGCGUAGAGAUCUGGAGGAAUACCGAUGGCGAAGGCAGCCAUCUGGCCUAAUACUGACGCUGAGGUACGAAAGCAUGGGGAGCAAACAGGAUUAGAUACCCUGGUAGUCCAUGCCGUAAACGAUGUCUACUAGCCGUUGGGGCCUUUGAGGCUUUAGUGGCGCAGCUAACGCGAUAAGUAGACCGCCUGGGGAGUACGGUCGCAAGACUAAAACUCAAAUGAAUUGACGGGGGCCCGCACAAGCGGUGGAGCAUGUGGUUUAAUUCGAUGCAACGCGAAGAACCUUACCUGGCCUUGACAUAGUAGAAACUUUCCAGAGAUGGAUUGGUGC